GCUGGGCAUGGUGGCACAUGCCUGUAAUCCCAGCGGCUCAGGGGGCUGAGGCAGGAGGAUCUCGAGUUCAAAGCCAGCCUCAGCAGAAGCAAAGUGUUAAGUAACUCAGUGAGACCUUGUCUCUA
rnacentral:sRNA from 1 species